rnacentral:rRNA from 1 species
AACGAACGCUGGCGGCAGGCCUAACACAUGCAAGUCGAACGCCGUAGCAAUACGGAGUGGCAGACGGGUGAGUAACACGUGGGAACGUACCUUUCGGUUCGGAAUAACUCAGGGAAACUUGAGCUAAUACCGGAUACGUGCGAGAGCAGAAAGAUUUAUCGCCGAAAGAUCGGCCUGCGUCCGAUUAGCUUGUUGGUGAGGUAACGGCUCACCAAGGCGACGAUCGGUAGCUGGUCUGAGAGGAUGAUCAGCCACACUGGGACUGAGACACGGCCCAGACUCCUACGGGAGGCAGCAGUGGGGAAUAUUGGACAAUGGGCGCAAGCCUGAUCCAGCCAUGCCGCGUGAGUGAUGACGGCCUUAGGGUUGUAAAGCUCUUUCGCCAGGGACGAUAAUGACGGUACCUGGAUAAGAAGCCCCGGCUAACUUCGUGCCAGCAGCCGCGGUAAU